AACGGUCUAUACCUGCGGUACCUGCGGAAGGAUCAUUACCGAGUUUUCAACUCCCAAACCCCAUGUGAACUUAUACCAUUUACAACCGUUGCUUCGGCGGGUUCUCGCCCCGGGCUUUACACCCCGGAACCAGGCGGCCCGCCGGGGGACCCAAACUCUAGAUUUAUAUUUUAGCAUGUCUGAGUGGAAUCAUUACAAAAUGAAUCAAAACUUUCAACAACGGAUCUCUAGAUCGGAAGA
rnacentral:misc_RNA from 1 species